CCUACGGGUGGCAGCAGUGGGGAAUUUUGCACAAUGGGGGAAACCCUGAUGCAGCGACGCCGCGUGAGUGAAGAAGUAUUUCGGUAUGUAAAGCUCUAUCAGCAGGGAAGAAAUAAAGUCCUUCGGACUUUGGACGGUACCUGACUAAGAAGCCCCGGCUAACUACGUGCCAGCAGCCGCGGUAAUACGUAGGGGGCAAGCGUUAUCCGGAUUUACUGGGUGUAAAGGGAGCGUAGACGGCAGCGCAAGUCUGGAGUGAAAUCCCAUGGCUUAACCAUGGAACUGCUUUGGAAACUGUGCAGGCGGAGUGCAGGAGAGGGAAGCGGAAUUUCUAGUGGAGCGGUGAAAUGCGGAGAUAUUAGGAGGAAAACCCGUGGCGAAGGCGAAUUACUGGACCGGAACUGACGUUGAGGCUCGAAAGCGUGGGGAGCAAACAGGAUUAGAUACCCCGGUAGUC
rnacentral:rRNA from 1 species